rnacentral:rRNA from 1 species
CCUACGGGAGGCAGCAGUGGGGAAUUUUGGACAAUGGGCGCAAGCCUGAUCCAGCAAUGCCGCGUGCAGGAUGAAGGCCUUCGGGUUGUAAACUGCUUUUGUACGGAACGAAACGGUCUGCCCUAAUACGGUGGGCUAAUGACGGUACCGUAAGAAUAAGCACCGGCUAACUACGUGCCAGCAGCCGCGGUAAUACGUAGGGUGCGAGCGUUAAUCGGAAUUACUGGGCGUAAAGCGUGCGCAGGCGGUUAUGUAAGACAGAUGUGAAAUCCCCGGGCUCAACCUGGGACCUGCAUUUGUGACUGCAUAGCUAGAGUACGGUAGAGGGGGGAUGGGAAUUCCGCGUGUAGCAGUGAAAUGCGUAGAUAUGCGGAGGAACACCGAUGGCGAAGGCAAUCCCCUGGACCUGUACUGACGCUCAUGCACGAAAGCGUGGGGAGCAAACAGGAUUAGAUACCCUGGUAGUCCACGCCCUAAACGAUGUCAACUGGUUGUUGGGUCUUCACUGACUCAGUAACGAAGCUAACGCGUGAAGUUGACCGCCUGGGGAGUACGGCCGCGAAGGUUGAAACUCAAAGGAAUUGACGGCGNGAGAGAGCGACGACGACGACGAGGGAGGAGG